rnacentral:rRNA from 1 species
UACGUAGGGGUGCAAGCGUUGUCCGGAAUUAUUGGGCGUAAAGAGCUCGUAGGCGGUUUGUCGCGUCUGCUGUGAAAUCCCGAGGCUCAACCUCGGGCCUGCAGUGGGUACGGGCAGACUAGAGUGCGGUAGGGGAGAUUGGAAUUCCUGGUGUAGCGGUGAAAUGCGCAGAUAUCAGGAGGAACACCGGUGGCGAAGGCGGGUCUCUGGGCCGUAACUGGACGCUGAGGAGCGAAAGCAUGGGGAGCGAACAGG